rnacentral:lncRNA from 1 species
CAGAAUCGGAAUCACCAGGCUCUGAGACAAAAGGAACCAGAGACUUUUAAAAGUUGGUUCUGGUGCCCGUGUCUCUUGCUCUGGAUUGUUGUAGAGGAAGAAGAUGAAGAAGAAGAAGAGUCACCACAGAAGCAGCUGGAUUUGCCAGUCUUGGAGCAUGAGCCCUUAUCAGGAAUGCUGGAAAAGCUCAGGUUUAAAUAAUUUGGAAUGCUCUGGAGAGAUCUUAUUUUGUUGGCUUUGUUUUCAGCUUCAAGU